UAAAAGUCGACUACCUAUUUGACCCGUCUUGAAACACGGGACCAAGGAGUUUAGCAUAUGUGCGAGUAGUUGGAUGAAAAAUCUGAAUGCGUAAUGAAAGUGAAGGUCAGUGAACGUUGGCUGAUAUCAGAUCCGCGUUAAAACGGAGCAUGAUAGCCCCGUCCCGAUGGCUUGCCAUGAGGCGGAGGAAGAGCAUAUACGCUAAGACCCGAAAGAUGGUGAACUAUGCCUGAGCAGGACGAAGCCAGAGGAAACUCUGGUGGAGGUCCGAAACGGUUCUGACGUGCAAAUCGAUCGUCUGACUUGGGUAUAGGGGCGAAAGACUAAUCGAACCAUCUAGUAGCUGGUUCCCUCUGAAGUUUCCCCCAGGAUAGCUGGAGUUUUAUAAUCAGUUUUACUCGGUAAAGCCAAUGAUUAGAGGCAUUGGGAUCUUAAUGAUCUUAACCUAUUCUCAAACUUUCAAUGAGUAUGAAGUCUUGGUUUCUUGAUUGAACCUAGACAUUGAAUGUGAGCUCCAAGUGGGCCAUUUUUGGUAAGCAGAACUGGCGAUGUGGGAUGAACCAAACGUUGGGUUAAAGUGCCUAACUGUCCGAUCAUGAGACCCCAUGAAAUGCGUUAGUUCAUAUAGACAGCAGGACGGUGGCCAUGGAAGUCGGUACCCGCUAAGGAGUGUGUAACAACUCACCUGCCGAAUGAACUAGCCAUGAAAAUGGAUGGCGCUAGAUCGGACGACUUAUACCCAACCGUUACAGACUUGAGCGCUUGCGUACGCCUGGUCGUAACGAGUAAGAGGGUCGUA
rnacentral:rRNA from 1 species